rnacentral:lncRNA from 1 species
AAUUUCUGACGCUCCUUUCAACAAGAUGAGAACCUGCCACUUUGGUUGGAACCAGGCCCUGGGCCUCACUGUGAAGGCUGAACGAGGAUGACCAGAGCCGGGACCUUGGACACACUGGGAAGUGACCAUCCAGCAAUGUGUGAGGCCUGGGGGAAGGAGGAAAGAAAGCAGCCGGGGGAGGCCUUGGGGCAGAAAAGAGAUGGACAUGGAGGCCAUUCAAAGCAGGGGAGAGACUCAAGGCGUGAGAAGACAGGCCUGGGGCUCAAGGUGGAUCUGUUAAGGUCCGUGGUUACAGCCCGCUGCCCCAGGUGAGGUAAACUGAAAAACAGAACCAUAACAGAGGGAUACUCACUCUCCACUCUGGUACAUAUUCAUAUUUCUUUUAGACCCUUCUCACAGGAUCCUAGAUAGGGAAAUAACUUCAGACAAAACUUGGAACAAGACUCCUAUCUUCACGUAGCUGCCCAGUAGCACAUGGGUAAGUCACCUGAGACCCAGAGAAGUCAAGAUUGUUUGUCUAAGAAAUCUAAUAACUG